rnacentral:rRNA from 1 species
AUUGAACGCUGGCGGCAUGCUUUACACAUGCAAGUCGAACGGCAGCGGGGGCUUCGGCCUGGCGGCGAGUGGCGAACGGGUGAGUAAUGCAUCGGAACGUGCCCAGUAGUGGGGGAUAGCCCGGCGAAAGACGGAUUAAUACCGCAUACGACCUGAGGGUGAAAGCGGGGGACCGAAAGGCCUCGCGCUAUCGGAGCGGCCGAUGUCGGAUUAGCUAGUUGGUGGGGUAAAGGCGUACCAAGGCGACGAUCCGUAGCUGGUCUGAGAGGACGACCAGCCACACUGGGACUGAGACACGGCCCAGACUCCUACGGGAGGCAGCAGUGGGGAAUUUUGGACAAUGGGGGCAACCCUGAUCCAGCCAUGCCGCGUGCGGGAAGAAGGCCUUCGGGUUGUAAACCGCUUUUGUUCGGGAAGAAAUCCUCUGGGCUAAUACCCCGGGGGGAUGACGGUACCGGAAGAAUAAGCACCGGCUAGCUACGUG